rnacentral:tRNA from 1 species
GCGCCUGUAGCUCAACUGGAGAGAGCAACGGCCUUCUAAGCCGUAGGUUGUGGGUUCGAAUCCCGCCAGGCGCGCCA